rnacentral:rRNA from 1 species
UACGUAGGGUGCGAGCGUUAAUCGGAAUUACUGGGCGUAAAGCGUGCGCAGGCGGUAAUGCAAGACAGAUGUGAAAUCCCCGGGCUUAACCUGGGAACUGCAUUUGUGACUGCAUUGCUGGAGUGCGGCAGAGGGGGAUGGAAUUCCGCGUGUAGCAGUGAAAUGCGUAGAUAUGCGGAGGAACACCGAUGGCGAAGGCAGCCCCCUGGGCCAAUACUGACGCUCAUGCACGAAAGCGUGGGGAGCAAACAGG